rnacentral:rRNA from 1 species
GGGAGUGGCAGACGGGUGAGUAACGCGUGGGAAUCUACCCAGAUCUUCGGAACAACUGAGGGAAACUUCAGCUAAUACCGGAUACGCCCUACGGGGGAAAGAUUUAUCGGUUCUGGAUGAGCCCGCGUUGGAUUAGCUAGUUGGUGGGGUAAUGGCCUACCAAGGCGACGAUCCAUAGCUGGUCUGAGAGGAUGAUCAGCCACACUGGGACUGAGACACGGCCCAGACUCCUACGGGAGGCAGCAGUGGGGAAUAUUGGACAAUGGGCGAAAGCCUGAUCCAGCCAUGCCGCGUGAGUGAUGAAGGCCUUAGGGUUGUAAAGCUCUUUCAGUGGGGAAGAUAAUGACGGUACCCACAGAAGAAGCCCCGGCUAACUUCGUGCCAGCAGCCGCGGUAAUACGAAGGGGGCUAGCGUUGUUCGGAUUUACUGGGCGUAAAGCGCACGUAGGCGGAUCGUUAAGUCGGGGGUGAAAUCCUGGAGCUCAACUCCAGAACUGCCUUCGAUACUGGCGAUCUUGAGUCCGGAAGAGGUGAGUGGAACUCCUAGUGU